rnacentral:tRNA from 7 species
UGGGACGUAGCCAAGCGGUAAGGCAGCGGGUUUUGAUCCCGUCAUGCGGAGGUUCGAAUCCUCCCGUCCCAGCCA